GACGAACGCUGGCGGCGUGCUUAACACAUGCAAGUCGAACGGAAAGGCCCUGCUUUUGUGGGGUGCUCGAGUGGCGAACGGGUGAGUAACACGUGAGUAACCUGCCCUUGACUUUGGGAUAACUUCAUGAAACUGGGGCUAAUACCGGAUAGGAGCUCCUGCUGCAUGGUGGGGGUUGGAAAGUUUCGGCGGUUGGGGAUGGACUCGCGGCUUAUCAGCUUGUUGGUGGGGUAGUGGCUUACCAAGGCUUUGACGGGUAGCCGGCCUGAGAGGGUGACCGGCCACAUUGGGACUGAGAUACGGCCCAGACUCCUACGGGAGGCAGCAGUGGGGAAUAUUGCACAAUGGGCGGAAGCAUGAUGCAGCAACGCCGCGUGCGGGAUGACGGCCUUCGGGUUGUAAACCGCUUUCGCCUGUGACGAAGCGUGAGUGACGGUAAUGGGUAAAGAAGCACCGGCUAACUACGUG
rnacentral:rRNA from 1 species